rnacentral:rRNA from 1 species
UGGGGAAUCUUCCGCAAUGGACGAAAGUCUGACGGAGCGACGCCGCGUGAGUGAAGAAGGCCUUCGGGUCGUAAAGCUCUGUCAUCAGGGACGAACGGCCGGUGGAGUGGAAAGCCAUCGGAUUGACGGUACCUGAGAAGGAAGCCACGGCUAACUACGUGCCAGCAGCCGCGGUAAUACGUAGGUGGCAAGCGUUGUCCGGAAUUAUUGGGCGUAAAGCGCGCGCAGGUGGGAUCUUAAGUCCAUUUUGAAAGUUCGGAGCUCAACUCCGUGAUGGGAUGGAAACUGGGAUUCUUGAGUACCGGAGAGGAAAGCGGAAUUCCCCGUGUAGCGGUGAAAUGCGUAGAUAUGGGGAGGAACACCAGUGGCGAAGGCGGCUUUCUGGACGGUGUCUGACACUGAGGCGCGAAAGCUAGGGGAGCGAACGGG